rnacentral:lncRNA from 1 species
CUUGGAAGUGUGCGGUUGUCUGAGGCCUGUCUCAAGUUACUCGAACUGGAAGCUGCAUGCAUGUUGGCUUUCCCAGAACGUACAUGAUAGCUUUCUUCGGGGCGAAACCUCGUUACGUUGUGAGUUCUAUUCACAGCAGGAGGUUGGGAGCUGUUCUCAUCAACAUAUGUGUAGUUGAGGUUGGACAAAGACCCUGAACUGUAAGAACUCUGAGAAUGCGUCUCAUCGUGAAGAUCAUCUGCAGUAUUAAUCUUCUAUCAAAAAACUUUUAUGUAAACAUCUGAAUCACACUACACACGUUAAAUCUGGUAGUUACUUUCCAUACCUUGUAGCCAAUCUUGACGGCCUCGUGUCAUGUAGUUAGAGAAUGAAGCUUGGGAGGAUGACGAAGAAUGAUAAACAUGAGGGGUUUCAUCACCUUCCUCGUACCUCCAACCAGGCACCAAAGAAGAGAUCUCUCCAUCAAUCAUUUCAGCAAUCUCUACUGGAUCCCAAUCUGUGAUCUCGAGUUCUUUUACCAUCUCCAUUGCAACAUCAAUGGAAGUAUCAUUCAUGAUGCCAAAGGGGAAAGCCACUUUCUUUGCCAUACCUGGAACUAAAAAGAAACAAUCAUGUGACCGAGAGAUAAGAAAAUCAUCAGCUAAAUAAACUAGGUCCCUUUUACCAUUUUCAUCUGCGAUUAUUACUUCCAGUAAGAUUGUGUUAUCUUCAGCCUUCAGCCUCCCAGUGAUGGUCAUCUGGGUCCUUCCUAACUCAUCAUCUUUCAACUUAAGUCUGUCCAUUUGAUUCUCAUUCAAGAAGGGCUUCAGAUUCCCAUCCCCUCUCGCGUACACCAUCCAGGACUCGUCAGAUGAGAGAAAUGGAUCUUGCAGAAGUUCUCUUGCUGACACUCUCUGUGAGGCAGGCACGAGGCAUUUCCUGAUGAAAAUCUGUGCCUCAAUGUCUUCAACUCUAUAAAAGGCGCUUGGUAGCUUUCCCUGGAAAAAAAAAAAACCAUUACAAGUCUCAUUCCCGGUUCAAAUGAUAGCUUCAUCCAUAUGCUCACAGAUCGAAAGACAUACCGAAGAAACUUUCUUGUAAAUGUGCACCGGACUGUUACACUCACUAUACGGGAACUCAGAGGUGACCAUCUCCAAAAAACACAUACCAAAGGAAUAAACGUCAAUGAGCUCGUUGUAGUUUCCCUCAAAUAAUUCUGGAGCCAUGAACUCGGGAGUGCCUACGCAAAAGAAGCACUAACUAAGUCUACGCAUAUGAUUAUAACGAGAAGUGAGAACAAACGAUUUUUGCAACAUACCAAGGAUACUAUGGGCAGAGCGGCGGUCCCGCAACAUUCUUGCAAGACCAAGAUCGCCAAUUUUUACUUGUCCAAGAUGCCCAUUAACAAAGAUAUUAUCACACUUUAGGUCUCUAUGGAUGACAGGAGGGCCAUGCUCGUGGAGAUAAACAAGGCCUUCCAAGAUCUGCCGAGCCCAAGACUUGAUUGCUCGGAUAUCUAUCCGCAGGUACUUAUUUUUGUAUCUGCACAAGAACGGGACAGCAUCAUACAAAGCAAAAACUGAGUAAUAUUUUCAGAAGAAAAGGUGUAAGAGUAUUACUGUCGGAGGGUCCCAGACGUAAACAACUCGGUGAUGAAGUUGAGAUUAUGGGAAUCUACAUCGAUCCAGGAAGUGUAGAAACGAAUGAUGGACUUGUGGUUGAGAGUGCUGAGAAGAUGAACCUCAGAGUAGAGCCUCUGUAGAUCAACAGAGGAACGGAGAACCUCUUUUAGCUUCACCUGGCUCCACGCUACUUCUAUUCCAAGCUUCUCGUCGAUUGCUUUGUACACCGUCUUCAUCGCUCCCCUUCCAAGAACUUCUUCAAACUGUUCCAGAACAAAACCAAGUGUUACAGAAAGGUCUGAAUUGUUAACUGUUCCAGAUAAAAAAUGUUCCAGCAUAGAGUCUGUUCCUCUACUUACACGUCCAUAUCGACCAGUAGGAUCUGUUUCUACAUACUCAGAAAGCUGAUUCAUGUUCAUGGUUGACCAAAACUCAGAUUGAUGCUCCCAGGAAUGUUUGAGACGACGAGAUAUCUCUGGUUGCCAAAAGUCGUCCUAUUACUUCUUCUUAUUCUACUUCAUCAAAGAAGCGUCAGCAGAUAAUAUGCUGAAACAGUAUUUGGCUUGAGUCACCCAUUGGUAAUACAAUGAAUAAAGACAAGAGCCUCAACCUAGCUUGCAUCACAUGUAUUAUAGAAAAUCAUUUAUUUUCAUUUUUAUUGACCCAGUUGUAAAAUAUAUAUAGAUACAACUUUGACAAACCUUAGUUGCCAAUAAAAUAUACUCGAGACACGGCAUUGAAAAUAAUUGAAAUAACCAAACGUGCACUACUUUGAAAAACACAUGGCUAAACAAGCUAAAAAGGGAAAAGGAAUAUGCCAUGAAUAGUUUUGUGAACCACAAACACUAUAGCAAAGAGGAUACUAGUUUAAAAAAAAAAAAAGAGACAGUUAGUCUCUCAUGUGUAAAAGAAGCUGAAGUAUCAAGAAGGCUGAGAAUGGUUGUUGCAGAGACAGACGCAGGACAGUUCCAGAAGCAAGUAAUGAAGUAUACUGUGAGUCUAGGUGAAGACCAGAUGGUUAAAGAUCACAGUUGAUUCUAAGGGGGACACGAGUCAGUGUCAGCAGGGUACAACUUUAUAAGAAGUGUAACCGGAGAAGAUACAUCCAAGGAUGCAAGGUUGAGAACCAAGUUCUGGUUGGCAUUCAAACCAAGGUGGAGAUUUGUGGAGUUAGUUUGAAUCCAAGACAUGUUAUUAAUCAGAUGGAGCUUCAGUAUGAGUUGAAUAGUGUUCAUUUGAAAAGAGAAGCAAGAGCCUUGGAUGGACAAAGAGGGUUUCAAGGAUAAGCUUAAACCCUUAACUCACGUGAUCUCUCUCUCUCCGUUACGUAUGAGUUCGUACGUUUGCAGGCUUGUCUCAGAUAAGACAAAGAAAGCAUGCUGGCUAGUUACUGCUUUGCGUGAAGGGUUAAAGGAGCAGGAGACAAAAGGAACCAAAGCUUAACUCAAGUUAUGGUAGCAAGGUUAACUCUACCUAUGGUUAGUUGUUGCUUUAGGUUAAGGCUCCAGCAGUAUAAAAGUAAAGAGAACAGGUCAGAGUUGUGUGUGCCGCUGAAGAAGAGCACCAAAGGGUGCGAAAGCACCAGGAGCUUUAGAGUGUAUAAACACCUAGGCUGAGAGUACUACAAGCACAUAAUUGCUUGGUAGUAGAGAAACUAGAGAGAGGGGAAACAGGGGUUUGAGAGAUAGCUUUGUAUUCACAUGAGAGGGUGAGAGACAAAGCUUGUAACCUCUUUAUCUAGUGGAUUGGUAGCUUGCCUACCCCCUGAGAUGUAGGUACCUCGAAUGAGGCCGAACUCAGGGUAAACAACUAAAGUGUGCUCCCUUUUACAUCCCUGUCUUGCAUCAUAUCUCUUAUCAUCAUCAACUUCAUGGUACUGAGUUUUGCAUUCCAAGCUAUCUAAGUGCAUAAGUGCUUGAACAAACGGUAACUUGAUGUCUGUGUAGAGGCAUAGAUCUCAACAGGGCGAAUUCACCAAAGAUAGCUAGAAGGAAGACAAAGGGAAGAACAUCCUACACAUCAAAGAGGAAGGGAAACUCAGAGAGUUUCGCGAUAGUGUUGACUGCGGUGGAUCCAGAGAGAGAUUUCAGAGAAUCCAUGGCUGAGAUGAUUGUUGAGAACAAGAUGAAGGAACAGACAGACCUGGAGGAUCUUCUUGCGUGUUAUCUUUCGCUGAACUCGAGUGAGUAUCAUGACAUUAUCAUCAAGGCUUUCGAGAAGACAUGGUUUCAUUUGACUCACCUCACCUGAGAACUCCCUCUCUCCGAAGCCAUGCGCAUGCAACUUUAUCAAACACACGUGUAACCUUUUAUAUUAUUGAAGCAGCAAGUUUGUUUUUUACACACUACACUAUAGAUAUUACGUGAAUACAAAUUUAGAGUAUAUUUUCAAACUAAGGGAGAAGCUACCGCCUUGAACUCGGUGGCUUCCGGGAAACCGCAUAAGGAGACUGAAACCCAACUGUUUCCACGUCUCCAACAGUUCUGAUCAACCUUCUUAUUCUAGCCUCUUCCGUCAGCGACCGCUGCAGUAACUGGCCCUGCACGUCUGCAAGCGAGCGGUUCCUUGGAAGUGUGCGGUUGUCUGAGGCCUGUCUCAAGUUACUCGAACUGGAAGCUGCAUGCAUGUUGGCUUUCCCAGAACGUACAUGAUAGCUUUCUUCGGGGCGAAACCUCGUUACGUUGUGAGUUCUAUUCACAGCAGGAGGUUGGGAGCUGUUCUCAUCAACAUAUGUGUAGUUGAGGUUGGACAAAGACCCUGAACUGUAAGAACUCUGAGAAUGCGUCUCAUCGUGAAGAUCAUCUGCAGUAUUAAUCUUCUAUCAA